UAAGAGGGAACCCGGUGGGAAUCCGGGACUGUCCCGCAGCGGUAUGCAGGAACGAACGCCGUCAUCCGCACUGGUCGCAAGGCUGGGAAGCGACGGCCAUUAGGAACCCUGCCCGGCUCGUCAGCGGCCCCUUCUGGGGCGCGUCGUCAGCCGGGCGCGGAGCACCGACCCGGUGCGUGCCUGCGAGUCCGAAGACCU
rnacentral:ncRNA from 1 species